rnacentral:rRNA from 1 species
UACAGAGGUCUCAAGCGUUGUUCGGAUUCAUUGGGCGUAAAGGGUGCGUAGGUGGCGCCGUAAGUCGGGUGUGAAAUUUCGGAGCUUAACUCCGAAACUGCAUUCGAUACUGCGGUGCUUGAGGACUGGAGAGGAGACUGGAAUUCGUGGUGUAGCAGUGAAAUGCGUAGAGAUCAUGAGGAAGACCAGUGGCGAAGGCGGGUCUCUGGACAGUUCCUGACACUGAGGCACGAAGGCCAGGGGAGCAAACGGG